CCCUGAAUUUUCAUUGAAAAUAUCGUACCAUUGAUUUUCACACGAUCGUUGAACACAACCAGCCAGUUGAUCAUUGAUGAAUACUAUACCAUCGCUUACACUAAGUAACAAAAAAAAAAAUUUCUCAGUCCUUGGGAUGUAAUUGUUAUUUCCUAGUCUGUUAUGCCUUAAAAGUAUGGAAACCACCUAAUAUUCCUCGGAAACUUUGCUUUUGUGACCAGGACAAUGUGAUUCAUUAAAAUAUGCUAAAAUUAUGAGAAAAA